rnacentral:rRNA from 1 species
AUUGAACGCUGGCGGCAUGCCUAACACAUGCAAGUCGAGCGAGCGGCGGACGGGUGAGUAAUGUCUGGGAAACUGCCUGCUUGAGGGGGAUAACUACUGGAAACGGUAGCUAAUACCGCAUACCAUCAGAUGUUCCCAGAUGGGAUUAGCUAGUAGGUGGGGUAACGGCUCACCUAGGCGACGAUCCCUAGCUGGUCUGAGAGGAUGACCAGCCACACUGGAACUGGGACACGGUCAAGACUCCUACGGGAGGCAGCAGUGGGGAAUAUUGCACAAUGGGCGCAAGCCUGAUGCAGCCAUGCCGCGUGUGUGAAGAAGGCCUUCGGGUUGUAAAGCACUUUCAGCGGGGAGGCGUUACCCGCAGAAGAAGCACCGGCUAACUCCGUGCCAGCAGCCGCGGUAAUAC